GAUGAACGCUGGCGGCGUGCCUAAUACAUGCAAGUCGAGCGAACAGACGAGGAGCUUGCUCCUCUGACGUUAGCGGCGGACGGGUGAGUAACACGUGGAUAACCUACCUAUAAGACUGGGAUAACUUCGGGAAACCGGAGCUAAUACCGGAUAAUAUAUUGAACCGCAUGGUUCAAUAGUGAAAGCCGGUUUUGCUGUCACUUAUAGAUGGAUCCGCGCCGCAUUAGCUAGUUGGUAAGGUAACGGCUUACCAAGGCGACGAUGCGUAGCCGACCUGAGAGGGUGAUCGGCCACACUGGAACUGAGACACGGUCCAGACUCCUACGGGAGGCAGCAGUAGGGAAUCUUCCGCAAUGGGCGAAAGCCUGACGGAGCAACGCCGCGUGAGGGAUGAAGGUCUUCGGAUCGUAAAACUCUGUUAUUAGGGAAGAACAAAUGUGGAAGUAACUAUGCACGUCUUGACGGUACCGAAUCAGAAAGCCACGGCUAACUACGUG
rnacentral:rRNA from 1 species